UUUUUUACUCUUAUUGGUUUAGAAUAUAUUUUAUCUGCCAAUAAGAGUACGAAUUCACGGCUCAUAUAAUGUGAUUUCCUAUAAUGUAGAACGUAUCCCCCACAUUGUAUGGGAAUCCACUGUAUAUGCUUUUCAUCCCAUACCUUUCCUAGGUCUCACUUUCAUACAUCAGUGUUGGGAUUAGUAUAUUCUGAUAUCAUCCUAACAUUCUUUGAUAGAUUUUUAUGUAUAGCAUACUUUAAAGUGAACUCACAAUUUUUAAUCCAGCAUUUAUUGUUCUCACAAUCUCGUCAUCAAUAUGGUCCUGCUCCUCAUAAUUCCUAAAUUCAUACAUUAUUCACUUCUCUUCUGCUAUUACUACACAGUAAUGAAUUUC
rnacentral:lncRNA from 1 species